rnacentral:rRNA from 1 species
UACGUAGGGGGCUAGCGUUGUCCGGAUUUAUUGGGCGUAAAGAGCUCGUAGGCGGUCUGUCACGUCUGCCGUGAAAACCCGAGGCUUAACCUCGUGGCUUGCGGUGGAUACGGGCAGACUAGGGGUAGGUAGGGGAGAACGGAAUUCCCGGUGUAGCGGUGAAAUGCGCAGAUAUCGGGAGGAACACCGGUGGCGAAGGCGGUUCUCUGGGCCUUACCUGACGCUGAGGAGCGAAAGCAUGGGGAGCGAACAGG